rnacentral:rRNA from 1 species
CUGGACUCAAGAACGAACGCUGGCGGCGCGCUUAAGCAUGCAAGUCGAACGGCAAGAGGUAGCAAUACCUCCUAGAGUGGCGGACUGGUGAGUAACACGUGGGUGACAUACCCUUCAGAUGGGGAUAGCUAUUAGAAAUAGUAGAUAAUACCGAAUACGAGCACAGGGGUUAGAGAUCUGUGAGGAAAGGAGCUAAGGCUCCGCUGAAGGAAUGGCCUGCGGCCCAUUAGCUAGUUGGUGAGGUAAGAGCCCACCAAGGCGAUGAUGGGUAUCCGGCCUUAGAGGGUGAACGGACACAUUGGGACUGAGAUACGGCCCAGACUCCUACGGGAGGCAGCAGCUAAGAAUAUUCCGCAAUGGACGAAAGUCUGACGGAGCGACGCCGCCGUGGAUGAAGAAGGCCGGAAGGUUGUAAAAUCCUUUUGAAACUGAAGAAUAAGCGUUGUAGGGAAUGACAGCGUGGUGACAGUAGGUUUUGAAUAAGCAACGGCUAAUUACGUGCCAGCCGCCGC